CAACUUGGGAAGAAAUGUGGCAGCCCUACCCCCCACCCCCUGCUCCAGACUUUGCUGCUCCCCUCUAACACUUCCAGUGUCCCCACCCCUUGGCGAGCUGAGACUGGAGGCCCCUUGGUGAACUCUCACUUCUCCCCAGGACUCCAGCAUCUCCCCUUCCCACCGGCCAAGGUGGCCUCCACAGCCAGCCCCCAGCCAGCAGUGGCAGCUCAGGAUACUGGAUAGAUGUAUUCACAUCAGCCAGGCCCACCAGGCACCACAGGAAGCAGUGAGUAUCCUGAUGCAACUUAAAAGUGGCAGGUCUGAGGAUGGCUGCUGGAGAUCAGCUGCUC